ACUGAGACCAUCUGAUUGGAAGAAGUGAUGUAAAUAAAUUCCAAGAUACUGGAUUACUACUGCGAGCCUACGGCCAAAUCAGAGCAGCACAUCUGCCCACACAGGUUCACGGCAAGGUGAAAUUUGGCCUGUCAGCCCUAUGCUCAACAUCCUACUGAUGUGCAUCAUGUCUCCUCCUAAAUAUGCCUCCAUAAAAACAUUCUAAAUGGGUCAGAACUCUGUUG